ensembl:lncRNA
CUCUGUUGAUGCAUUUAGUGACGCAUCAGUAUUGCUGAAUCGGUGUUUGGUGUGGGUUUUUUCUCCCCUAGCUUUGGGAUUUGCCUCCUAGUCAGCAGUAGACUGUUUUGUCCUGCUCUGCUAUACCUGCACAUGACUUAAACCUUUUCCCUUGUUUUCACAGCUUCUGGCCCUGGCUGGGUGAAUCCUCACAGCAGUCGCUUGCAGCUGAGUACAGUGCAGGACAUGGAGGCUGUGCCCUGGAGGACAGCAUGGAGGACUCCUGGCCUCCCUGAUCCCACCGCAGCAGAUACAAGGUAAGGCUAAAUCCCCACAGCACCUUUCCAAAAAGGUGUCCACACUACAUAUACUGCCAGGAUCCAUCUCCUGCAUGGUGACCACCGCUCUGCUUCCACCCACACCUCCAGGCUGGGGCUAAUAGAAGUCAGCAUGGUUGUCUGGGCCCACAGCAGCCAUUAAGGGACAUUUGCCCAACCCUUUCCUUAGGGAUGCCAUUUGGAGAGUG